CCCUUAGAUGUCCUGGGCCGCACGCGCGCUACACUGACAUGUUCAACAAGUUUCUCCUAGUUCGACAGGACUGGGAAAUCUUUGAACGCAUGUCGUGAUAGGGAUAGAUCAUUGCAAUUAUUGAUCUUGAACGAGGAAUUCCUAGUAAACGCGAGUCAUCAGCUCGCAUUGAUUACGUCCCUGCCCUUUGUACACACCGCCCGUCGCUCCUACCGAUUGAGUGGUCCGGUGAGGCUUUGGGAUCUGAGCAAAAAGAGCGUUUCGCUCGUUUGGCUCGGAAAACUCAGUCGAACCUUAUCAUUUAGAGGAAGGAGAAGUCGUAACA
rnacentral:rRNA from 1 species